CACACAAAACACAUGCAGUUUAUAAAAUAUGAUGUUUUAUUAUGAAUUAAACUACCCAACAAUAUAGAGGCCUACAAGUCCAACUGAAAUAAGUAGUUGCUAAAUCAAUU